rnacentral:lncRNA from 1 species
CACGAAUAUCUACAUGUAGCCACAAUCCUGUAGGUGCUACUAGUGUUGAAGGAACAGAUUAACCUUCAAAUUCACCUGAGGACACCCAGUCCUAUUUUGGUUAAUGUUGCUCAUCCUGGACGUUAUCUUUUGGUCUUGAUGUUUGCUGUUUGUAGCUAGUUAUGCUUUGCUUUCCAGACUUUAGAUCUUUUAAUAAUAUAGCGGC